rnacentral:rRNA from 1 species
GGUGCCAGCGCGUGCUGACUGCAAGUCGACGCGAAAGGCUCCUUCGGGGGCCGAGUAGAGUGGCGCACNGGGUGAGUAACACGUAGGUAAUUUGCCUUCGGGUGGGGAAUAACAGCCGGAAACGGCUGCUAAUACCGCAUAAUGCAGCGGCUCGACAUCGAGACAGUUGUUAAAGCGGGGGAUCGCAAGACCUCGCGCCUGAAGAGAAGCCUGCGGCGGAUUAGCUUGUUGGUAGGGUAAUGGCCUACCAAGGCGACGAUCCGUAACCGGCCUGAGAGGGCGGUCGGUCACACUGACACUGACAUACGGGUCAGACUCCUACGGGAGGCAGCAGUCGGGAAUUUUGGGCAAUGGGCGCAAGCCUGACCCAGCAACGCCGCGUGAAGGAUGAAAUCCCUCGGGAUGUAAACUUCGUAAGAACAGGAAGAAUAAGGAAGGGUUAAUACUCCUUCUGAUGACGGUACUGUUUGUAAGCUCCGGCUAACUCCGUGCCAGCAGCCGCGGUAAUACGGGGGGAGCAAGCGUUGUUCGGAUUUACUGGGCGUAAAGGGCGCGUAGGCGGCCACGACAAGUCACUUGUGAAAUCUCCGGGCUUAACUCGGAACGGUCAAGUGAUACUGUCGGGCUAGAGUGCAGAAGGGGCAACUGGAAUUCUCGGUGUAGCGGUGAAAUGCGUAGAUAUCGAGAGGAACACCUGCGGCGAAGGCGGGUUGCUGGGCUGACACUGACGCUGAGGCGCGAAAGCCAGGGGAGCGAACGGGAUUAGAUACCCCGGUAGUCCUGGCCUUAAACGAUGAAUGCUUGGUGUCUCGGGUUAUAAAGUCCCGGGGUGCCGUCGCUAACGCUUUUAGCAU